GUUUUGCAUAGGGAGUAGCCAUUAACUGGCCCUCUGUUCAUAAACUGAGCACACACCUCCAGCCUGCAUAAGGAGGGUAGAGGUGUUCCCCUCACCUCAAGUCAGGUGAAAGGGUCUAAAUGAGAACGACCUGGAACACUUGACUUGUGUUCAUUGGAGGUCAAGGGACACAGGGACCGGUAUUUUAUCCUGCCUUGGAAAAGACUCAAGAUGGGAACUUAUGCUUCGUCCUGCCCUGAGAGCAGAGCAAAGGAGGUGGCUGUACUCAGAGUGAGAUGCACUUCCCCAAAAAUCUAGGAAUAAGGGUAUGUUUUUCAGGAAGAAUGUGAAGAGGAAAAGAGAGAAGGAAGAGAAAAAAGAGCCAAAUACACUCCAUACACCAUAGGAAUUAAAAAUAUCCUGAAGAUACAGCAUGUUGGACAAAUGAUAAAAUAGUUUCUUCAAAGCUGCUCCAUUCACAUCAGUGAUCAAAAGUUUGAUUAGGACAGUGUUCUAUUAGGCGCUGCUCACAGUUCCUUCAAAUUUGUGAUAAUUUGUUAAUUACCUUUUGGAUAUAGUCAUUUGCAAAGUUUCUAAUUUACUUACCUUAAGCCCAGUUCAUAUUUCUUCCUGUCCAGAGAGUAGCAUGAAGGAGCUUGUUAUGUGCCCUGCUGAAAUCCAACUACACUAGGCCUAUUUCAUUUCCCUAAUACAGCCAUCUAAUAAUAAUACUAUGAAUGAAAUAAAUGGUGCUGGUCUGGCAUGAUUUGUUCUUUGUGAGCGCAAUACUGCCUAAGUCCUUAAUCAUUACCGCUACCACUUCUAGAUGCCUACAAACUAUACACCAUAACAACUUGCUAGGGUCAAUGCCAGCCUUCUCAGGAUUUAUGAAAUUCAUCUUCCUUUUCUUUUUAGGAAUCAAAAUAGUAGUUGCUCAUCUAGACUUAUGGCAUUUCUCUGAUUUACUACAAUUCUGCAAAUAUCACAAUUUCAAUAAAAGUUGCCAGAUAUUAAA
rnacentral:lncRNA from 10 species